AGAAAAAGGAUGAAAUAUUCCACUUUGUCAAGAUGCAAGGUUUUGAACAGAAAAUAUCUCCCAGGCAUGUUUAGGAAGAAAUUCUUCAGGAAUGAAAAAGCAGGAAAUGAUCAUACAUCCUUCACUUGCUUCCUCCAAGUCUGUGAGAAGAUGUUGAGGACUCUCAGGGCCAGUCUGACAGAUGAAGGACAAGUCUCUAAUAAAUGAGAAGGAGGACAGCCGAACAGAGAAGGUGCACUCAGAAAUGGAUGAAGAAAAAAAUAUUAAAGAAAAAUUUUCCUGUGACAAAUUUACACAGAAAAUGCACAACCUCACUGUGAGCUGUUUGUCAUAUUCACAGGUUUGGAGAGUCUACAAGCAACAGAAAUAUAAGAAAUUCAUUUUUGACAAAUGAAAAUAUAAGAAGAUUUAUAAAAGCUCUAGCCUACUUUUAUUUUUUUUUAUUACCCAGAAUUUUAAUUCUUCUUGCCUGUGAAAUGCUUUUAAACAGAGUAGACCUUAGUUUUUAAAAUAGGCUUUAAAAUAGUUUUUUGCAAAUAAUUUCUUUAGGUUUUGCUUUCUUCACUGUAAUUCUUUAGAAGUAUUCCAACUACAUAUUUCUUUUUCUUAAGUGAUGUAAACCCCUUUUCUGCUGUAUUCACUUUCUGGGCCCCAUUUUUGGCUGCAGCUUUGAGGAGAUGUUGUAUCACCUAAUUCUCAGGGUGGAGAGUACAGUAUCCCUAUCAGUAUUCAAGAAUGAUUAAUCCUCAAUUCUUUCUGCUGUGGAGAAUGCCUAGCCUAAAGGUGCACAACAUAUUCUAAAGCAGAACAAAACAUUUCCUGGUCUGCAGUCAGGCACUUUCCUUUAGAGAGUCUGAGGGUUUCAGACUGUGGAAAGAUGUCAUUCAGUGUCAGCUGACCUAAAUGCCAGAGAACAGCCUGAGUACAUUUAAUUUACCAAUGUAGGCAUAUCAUAUGACUCGCAAGGUCUAGCUGAGGGAGCUUUCUCAUUAUGCUACUGUCAGAUUCUCUUCUAUAUUCAAAAAUAUUACAUUCUUGAAUAUAAAGCAGCCUGAAUUAAUACAAGUAUUGCCUUGGAAAUAAGAAGCAUUUGGACAAUAUUUUUAGUAACAUGCUUUAAUAUUUGGUCAGCCUUGAAUUGGUCAGACAGUUGGACUAGAAGAUUGUUGUAGGUCCCUUCCACCUGGAACUAUUCUAUUCUAUUCUAUUCUAUUCUAUUCUAUUCUAUUCUAUUCUAUUCUAUUCUAUUCUAUUCUAUUCUAUUCUAUUCUAUUCUAUUCUAUUCUAUUCUAUUCUAUUCUAUUCUAUUCUAUUCUAUUCUA